UACAGAGGAGCCAAGCGUUGUCCGGAUUGACUGGGCGUAAAGCGCACGCAGGCGGAUGCGCGCGUGGGGUGUGAAAUCUGGCCGCUUAACGGCCAGGCGCCAUCCCAUACGGCGCGUCUGGAGUGAUGCAGAGGUCGGUGGAAUUGCCGGUGUAGUGGUGAAAUGCUUAGAGAUGACAUAGAACACCUAUUGCGAAGGCAGCUUACUACGCAGAUAUUGACGCUCAUGCACGAAAGCGUGGGGAUCAAACAGG
rnacentral:rRNA from 1 species